rnacentral:sRNA from 1 species
UACAAAGUAAAUGCUAACAUUAAAAGUGUUUAUCACAGGUGAAGAUUAUUUUAAAGUUCCUUUAGGAAAUGAAGGUGAGGUACGAGUGAGAAGGUUGAUCAAUCUCACUAGUAAAAGGAACUGAGCUCUAUGAAUUUCAAACCUAUACAUGUACUGUGAAAUCAUGAUGUUAAUACGUAAGUGAACUUAGUAAAGUUAAUAUUCCUCCAGAGGGAGCAGUUUUCUCACUACUCCUGAGCUGUUUGAAAUGUCCUGUGUCACGAUACAACCAAUUUAUCAUGAAGACCAUGGUGUCUUGCUUUUUUCCUUUCUGCCAUAGUGCAUACAUUUGCUGUUUUUCAUCUGAUUCACCUUUACCUCUCUACUUGAUGCUAUAGUACAUUUACAAAUCUGCAAGUAUGCUGCAGAAUACAAAAUAUUGCAAUGCAGUGACAUAGAUUAUACUCAGGCACCAUAGUAAUAAUCAGAACAAGUAGUUCUUAGGAAAAAUUAUGGAGAAGAGUUCAUAAUUGGAAUGAACAUGUUUCUUGUUGCCUCUAAUAUCUCAUGGCUAAUUAUUAUGAACAUAGAAUUGUCAGAUGAACCUAGAAAUGACUGAUAUCACAUUGGUACACUGAUUCUUUUAAUGAAAUAAUAUAGCCUGGUAUUGGGUCCUGAAUUUAGCUGUGUGCUACUAUUAACAUUACACAUGUGCAUCUCUAAAUUUGGUAUAUUUUCCUAUUAGCUUUUCAGAACAGGUGCAACAAUGGCAAAAUCUCAGGUACUACAACCAACUACAAGCGACUAUGAGAAAGGGUUUGUUGAGAGAGCAAGCACAUGUGUCACUAAUGUUAUUCCUCUGUUCUCCCUGCUAACUCUAUUAUUAUAAACCACCAGGGGAUAGAAAUUGACAAGAAUUGAAAUGCUCAGCAGGAUUCCUUGGCCCAUUCAAUUCUUUGCUGGCUCAAAACAGUGCUAGCAAGAAUUGCUGUGGAGAGUGACUAGCACUCAUACACUCACACCAUGCUGAAUUUCUCACUGAUGAAAAUAGUUGUGCAAGAACUGAUGCGAUUUUUACCCCUUACCCCGGAUUUAAAAGUCACGUAAAAGUUUCUAGAGUUGUGAAUACAUACGGACCACAGACUAGACCUGAAGGAAUUCCAGGGUCAGGUCAUAAACCUAACAGCAUGCUUCGAGAUUGUGGUAAUCAGGCUGUAGAAGAACGACUACAAAAUAUUGAGGCCCACUUGCGGUUACAGACAG